GGUCCCUUGUGCGAAGAAAAUGGGGGAUCUGACCUGCCCGGUGACCUGAUUUGGAGUUAAACGGCCGCGGUAUAUUAACUGUGCAAAGGUAGCGUAAUCAUUUGCCUAUUAAUUGUGGGCUAGUAUGAAUGGUUUGACGAGGAUUUAGCUGUCUUUUUAAAAAAUAUUAAGAAAUUAUUUUUCAAGUGAAAAUUCUUGAAUGAAACUGAGGGACGAUAAGACCCUGUCGAGCUUUAGUGUGGCUUAAGCGCCUAGUGUAUGAAAUUUUCUAUUGAGAUGUUUAAGUGAAUCUUUGAUUGGGGCGAUUUAGAAGUAAAAAAAACCUUUUGUAUAAAAUUUAUGACUAAUAAGUAUAGGAUCUAGUGUAAAAAAAUAUGGAAAAAAGAAAAAGUUACCGCAGGGAUAACAGCGUUAUCUUUUUGGAGAGUUCUUAUUGAAAAAAGGGUUUGCGACCUCGAUGUUGAAUUAGGAUAUCCUAAAGGUGUAGCAGCUUUUAAGGGUUGGUCUGUUCGACCAUUAAAAUCUUACA
rnacentral:rRNA from 1 species